GGAGCUUUUCCGAGAGGCUGGGAAGUGGAAGAUGGACCCAUUGAUGAUCCGCAGAUCAGCUGGAGGGAGCUUUGGCUCCCGCCAGCUUCCAGCUGCUCCAUUUUUCAGUCAAAUUUAGGCUAUGGGUCAACCCUUGAGAUCUUAGGAGAUGCUCAGCAAGAGACUUGAUUCACACCACAGACCGAACCAGGUCAGAUAAAGCUGUGAAGACUACAUUCACACAGUGUGGGAAGGUCCUGCUUGAUGACGCGCAAUGCUCUGGUCCAUCUUAGGAAGACGGAAGCAACAGCAUGUGGGAGACGUUAACGGCGAGUUUCAACUUCUGCCUUCUGAUCUGGUCCGUCUACUACUUCUUGGGGAAUGAGAUGGUCCACGAGCAGUUCUGCGUGAACUUCGGGAUGGAUCCCCAGGCCUUCCCUUUCGUGGAUUUGAUCCGCAUCAGUUCCCACCUGAGACUCCACAUCUACUACUUCCUCCUCUCAGCGUUGCUGCUGAUGGUCAUCUCGGCUGUCGUCUCCUGGGUCUAGGAAGCCAAGUCCUAAGAUGCUGGUGCAGAGGUAGGCAACCUUGGCUCUUUUAUGACUCGUGGACGUCAACUCCCAGAA